AAAGGUUAAAGGUUAAAGGUGUGGCACUUCCCGCUUCUCUCUCUCUCUCUCUCUCCUGCUCCGCCACGGUGAGACCUGCUUGCUUCUCCUCACCUUCUACCGUGAUUGUAAGUUUCCUGAGGCGUCCCAGUCAUGCUUCCUGUUAAGCCUGCAGAACUCUGGACCAGACAGAAGACUACAGUUCAAUAAGAAGGAAACACAUUCAUUUUCAGUAUUGUUAAUAAAGAAGCUUACCUAAAAGAAGGAAAUCAAAACAAGGAAAUAAAACCUUCAGCUGCAGCUAAGAAUUUGGAGGUUACUGAAGGAGGUUACUUUUUCAAGAGCAGAAGUAAGGAUUCCACUGAAUUUGCUCACCAAAGAUAAGUCAGCAAAGAAAACUUACUGAAGAAUACAGACAGCAUAUCAGCUCCUGCUUUCCAGACAAACUUCCUGGGUCUUGGGAAGAAGAAAGCCUCAGACUAAGAACUCUCUCUGGACUCAGACAGCCUGAAUUCAAAUCCCAUCUCUAUUCUUACUAGUCAUAUGAACACAGGAGAACCAUAUCCAUUCAGCUCACUUUGGGCCACCUGUGGAGCCUGAUAACCAGGGAACAGAGAAUCUGUUGAGAUCCAAAUUUGUGUGCCAGAUCACAAACUCAUCUGAAGCAGAUGCCACGUGUUACACUGUUAUGUAUCUCUCAGAGACUCCAGCACUUUGAAAGUAUUAGGCCUUGCUUAUCGAGAUGAAUAUUUUUUUCUAGGCAUGUCCCAAAGUUCUCAGCAUAGCUACAACCCUGAUUUUCACAGGAUUUUCAUUAAAAUUAGGUUCUAGAGCAUUACUUCCCUAAUGUGCAAUGCAACUUACGUUUAGUUUUCAAAUCAAAAUUAGUUUUGUUUUUCCACUGUCUUUAUCUUUGAAAAUAUUGAACUUGGGAUUUCCAAAACUAUAAUUAGCAAUUAUUUUUACAUAUCUUUUAUAUACAUAACUUUUACAAUGGCUGCCAUUAUCAUGUAGGUUCUUAGGAAGUGUUUCUGAUCCUUGUAAAUAAAAGUGAAAGAAGAAAUCUUUACUGCUUGCUGACCCAUGUGACUAACCUUGAAAUCAGAGAGGCAGAUUCAUUUAAAACAAACUUGCAAACUGUUAAGCAAAGUUCUGAAUCUCUGUGACUUGACCAAAAGUAAUUCAGACUUGACUAUUCCAGGCUCCCUUCUAUCUCUGUAGCAACCCAUGCAUCAUAGACUCCAGUUGCAAUGGAUGGUCAAGGAAUCUGCUGUGCCUUUUGAGUCUCUCCAUUUUAUAUUGCCAAAUUUAUCUUCCUUUAAUACUUCACUUCACAUAAGACACUAAGAUAAACAAGGAUGCAACUCACUUAUAUUUCAAAAUAGUACCUAGUGGUUAAAAGUACUUGUUCUGAAAGCAACUCUAUUUUUCUAGUUCUAACAUGUCUCCAACUAGUUAUCUCACCUUGAGCUUGGCACAUAAUCACUCCGUCUUACUUUUGCAUCUGUGACACAAGAAAAAUACCACCCACCUCAACAUAGAUCUUAUGAAGAUUAAAAUAAGAUUAUGAAAGUAAAAUGCUCAGCACAAUGUCUAAACGAAAAUAAAUGCUCAGCAAGUAGGAGCUACUAUAAUUAUUACCCAGAUCAAAUAUUUUCUCCUCUAUGAAGCUUUCUUAUUCUUCCCCAGCUGGAAUUACUUAUUUUCUUCCUUGCUUUCUACACCACACUUUAGUCACCACCAUGCUGGCACUUGUCUCACCGCAUUAUAAUUAUUUAUGUGCCUGUGUUCCAUAACCAGAAUAUGGGACUUAAGCUUCUUUAUACCUCCAGCAUAAUUGUUUCAUGUGUGCUUUUAGGUAAUGGAGUAAAAUGGAUGAAUGAGUGAAUGCGACUAUAGUACUAAAUGCUCUUAGAUAAAGAUGUAAUUAUUCUUAAGUGAUAAAAUUGUUCGAACAUGAGUAGUUCAGAUAAUGAGAGACUGUCAUAGAAUUACUUGAUAAAAUCUAGUCAAUAAAAUGGCUUGGCAAUAU